GAUGAAGAACGUAGCGAAAUGCGAAAAGUAGUGUGAAUUGCAGAAUUCAGUGAAUCAUCGAGUCUUUGAACGCACAUUGCGCCCCCUGGUAUUCCGGGGGGCAUGCCUGUCCGAGCGUCAUUGCUGCCCUCAAGCACGGCUUGUGUGUUGGGCCCCGUCCCCUCCCCCGGGGACGGGCCCGAAAGGCAGCGGCGGCACCGCGUCCGAUCCUCGAGCGUAUGGGGCUUUGUCACCCGCUCUGUAGGCCCGGCCGGCGCCAGCCGACACCCAACUUUUAUUUCUAAGGUUGACCUCGGAUCAGGUAGGGAUACCCGCUGAACUUAAGCAUAUCAAUAAGCGGAGGA
rnacentral:misc_RNA from 1 species